CCCAGCAGGAUGGGUGAUGCUGAGAGCUGCCUGUUCAGACAACAGACACGCGAGGUCAGGAAGAAGCCGCUUAUAAAUUACCGCUUCCUCCGCGCCUCCGCCUGCGCCGAGCCCCGAGGAGCGCGAGACCCGAGGCCGAGCCACGCCGAGAGGGAGCGCGGAGCGUGGACCUCACGGGCCGGACAGCGAGCGGGCGGGCAGCUUCUGGCCAGUGGAACCCGUCGCCGCCGAGCGCAGCCCAGCGCAGCGCAGCGCGGGCAGUGCCGCAGCCUCGCCAGGCCCAGAAUCAGAACCACAACCCCUCUGAGGAGCCUCCAAAAUGCUAUGCUGGAAGGGGCAUUGUGACCUCACGACCCGAUAUUCUGAGGCCCAGAGCCAAGGUGUCUUCCGUACUCUAUCUGGUCUCUUCUGCGCCUUGAUAUCCCCACCUCAGCCGAGCAGUAGCUGCUGGUAGUCACCAUCUUGUAGUGCUGGAAGUCGCUGCCGCCACCACACCAACAUCUGCCAGCCUGACAGAAUUAGAUAUGAACCCCAUCCACCCAGAAAGCGAGAAGAUGGCCACCAAGGAGAAGCUGCAGUGUCUGAAAGACUUCCACAAGGACAUCCUGAAGCCAUCGCCAGGGAAGAGCCCAGGCACACGGCCUGAAGACGAGGCUGAGGGGAAACCCCCACAGCGGGAGAAGUGGUCCAAUAAGAUCGACUUUGUGCUCUCCGUGGCUGGCGGCUUCGUGGGCUUGGGCAACGUCUGGCGUUUCCCGUACCUCUGCUACAAAAAUGGCGGAGGUGCAUUUCUCAUACCAUAUUUUAUUUUCCUGUUUGGGAGCGGCCUGCCUGUGUUUUUCCUGGAGAUAAUCAUAGGCCAGUACACCUCUGAAGGGGGCAUUACCUGCUGGGAAAAAAUUUGCCCCCUAUUCGCUGGCAUUGGCUAUGCUUCCAUCGUGAUUGUGUCCCUCCUGAAUGUCUACUACAUCGUCAUCCUGGCCUGGGCCAUGUACUACCUGUUCCAGUCCUUCCAGUCGACCCUGCCCUGGGCGCACUGCAACCACAGCUGGAACACGCCCCACUGCAUGGAGGACACCAUGCGUAGGAACAAGAGCCUGUGGAUAACCCUCAGCACCAGCAACUUCACCUCCCCUGUCAUCGAGUACUGGGAGCGCAAAGUCCUGAGCUUGUCCCCUGGAAUCGACCACCCCGGUGCUGUGAAAUGGGAGCUCGCUCUCUGCCUUCUUUUCAUCUGGCUGAUCUGUUUCUUCUGCAUCUGGAAGGGCAUCAGGUCCACCGGGAAGGUUGUCUACUUCACGGCCACUUUCCCGUUUGCCAUGCUCCUGGUGCUACUGAUCCGUGGGCUGACACUGCCCGGUGCAGGGGAAGGCAUCAAGUUCUAUCUGUACCCUGACAUCAGCCGCCUCGAGGACCCACAGGUGUGGAUUGAUGCUGGGACCCAGAUAUUUUUUUCCUACGCUAUCUGCCUGGGGGCCAUGACCUCGCUGGGGAGCUACAACAAGUACAAGUACAACUCGUACAGGGACUGUUUGCUGCUGGGAUGCCUGAACAGUGGUACCAGUUUUGUGUCUGGCUUCGCAAUUUUUUCCAUCCUGGGCUUCAUGGCACAAGAGCAAGGGGUGGACAUUGCUGAUGUGGCUGAGUCAGGUCCUGGCUUGGCCUUCAUUGCCUACCCAAAAGCUGUGACAAUGAUGCCGCUGCCCACGUUUUGGUCCAUUCUCUUUUUUAUUAUGCUUCUCUUGCUUGGACUGGAUAGCCAGUUUGUUGAAGUCGAAGGACAGAUCACGUCCUUGGUUGAUCUUUACCCAUCCUUCCUAAGGAAGGGUUAUCAUCGGGAAAUCUUCAUCGCCAUCGUGUGUAGCAUCAGUUACCUGCUGGGGCUGUCGAUGGUGACGGAGGGUGGCAUGUAUGUGUUUCAACUCUUUGACUACUAUGCAGCUAGCGGUGUAUGCCUUUUGUGGGUUGCAUUCUUUGAAUGUUUUGUUGUUGCCUGGAUAUAUGGCGGUGAUAACCUUUAUGAUGGUAUUGAGGACAUGAUCGGCUAUCGACCUGGGCCCUGGAUGAAGUACAGCUGGGCUGUGAUCACUCCAGUUCUCUGUGUUGGAUGUUUCAUCUUCUCACUUGUCAAGUAUGUACCCCUGACCUACAACAAAAUCUACGUGUACCCUGACUGGGCCAUCGGGCUGGGCUGGGUUCUGGCCCUCUGCUCCAUGUUGUGUAUCCCUUUGGUCAUCGUCAUCCGCCUCUGCCAGACGGAGGGGCCAUUCCUCGUGAGAGUCAGGUACCUGAUGACCCCGAGGGAACCCAACCGCUGGGCUGUAGAGCAGGAGGGGGCCACACCCUACAACUCUCACACAGCGGUCAUGAAUGGCACUCUCAUGAAACCAACCCACAUUGUCGUGGAGACCAUGAUGUGAGCUCUCUUGGGUCGCCGGGGCCAGCCGCUUUUCCUGCUGUUUACUAACAUUAGAUUCUCAUAGGACCAGGUUUACAGAGCUUUAUAUUUGCACUAGGAUUUUUUUUUUUUUGUAAUUGUCACAGAAAAUGUAUUAUUGUGUGUAUGCGUGUAUGUGCGUGUACUGUGCGUGUGUGUAUUUUGCUUUGAUUUGGGGAUAUUUUGUACAAAAAGAAAACCCGCGGACAGAUGUCCAAGGAGAGGCAGAGCUUUCAUACUGAAUUAGAUGUAUUUUAUGGGAACUUGGUAAACUUUUACUUUGUAUUUUUUUUACGUAUAACUAUAUCUACACUUAGAGAUUGUCAUAUACUUUUACCACUUGAAUUGAUCUUCUUGCCAGCAAUAGAUUUCAUUUUCAAAAGCAAUUCUUCGGUGCUUGUGUAGCUGGCAGAAAGUUCUGCCCAGAAAAUGCAGGAUGGAAUUUUCCUGGGAGAUCCGACCAGUCUUAAAGGUGUAGUACCUUCCACAGCCUGGUUCAGGUGCAAGGAAGGAAGCAGCCGGAGAGAGGGAGCUGGUCCCAUGGGCUGGCAGACCCAGAGGGUCAGGAGAAAGGAGGGCCGUGAGGGGAUGCCUCAUUAAACUUGUCUUAGCCAAGAAGAGAGAUGCCAAAAUAACGAGCCAACCCCUCAAAUAAAAGGGACUGAUUAAAGUCAAAAGGCGAGGCCAUACUGCAAAAGUCUGAGUCUAAGAACAGUAGAAACUGUUGUACUGGAAGCAUGACCCCAUUUCUGAUUUUGAGGUCGAGGGUGGAUAGUCAGGAGGAUCCUCAGAACUAUUGGUCCAAGAGGGAGCGGCUAGAGAGCCAAGAAGGCAGGUGGGAAUGAGGCUCGCUACUCCACCUGCCAGGAGGUGGACAGGGCAAGGGAGGUAACUGUCCUUCCCAGGGACAGUCCAGGCAGGCGGGACCCAAGGAUAGGCCAGCAGGAGCUGGGGGGUGGGAGGCAUCUCAGGGCAAGAUGGGUCUGUUGCAUUUGAAUGGAGUUGAAGUGGGUUCUGGUCAUUCCCCAAGCAACAUGUCUGAGCAUCUCCUGAAGCUGCCUGCAGGAGUGAAGUUAGUGUAACUGCUGAGGGAGGCAGGGUGAGGUGGGGAGGCAAGUGGACCAAAGGAUGUGGGCCCCGGGCAUGCAGGCAGGCCCAGUGUUGGCGAGGGAUGCUUUUCUUUCCUCAUCUUUCCACCCUUAGCUCUGUCCUAUCUCCCAGAGGCUGGGGGACUCCUGAAGAGCUCUUAAGGAUGCCACCCAGGGCUGCGCUAGCACCCAGCAGGGAAGGUGUGAGCAGCUUCCUUACUUUGAGGCUAGAUCUUCCAUUUGGGGAAAUGCUCCCAAAAUUCUCAGAAUUUGCUCAGACACCAGGGCAGCCCUUGGUGAGAUAUAAUAAAGGUCUUUAUUUCAAACCCUUGGAAUAGUUGGUGUCAAGUUGUUACCACAUGGGAACCAAGGAGUGACGGCAAAGGAGAGUUUUCUAGAAGGUUGGGAGUAUCAGGGGCCUGGCACCCCACAGGGGGCUUGACCAAGAGCCUCAGUGAAGCAAAGAUCCUUCCUGAACCAGGAGAGAAGGUAUUACACCUUUAAAAUCCCACGUGCAGACACACCCCCACCCCAGCCCCAUUUGGACCUAAACUGUGCCAUUGGAACAGACACUUCCAAGUUCAGAGUCUAAACUAAACCGGAAAAUUAUCACGCACAAAGGCAGUGACUGCCUCAAGGGGUGUGGAGAGUUGAGUUCAGCUUAGGUUUUCAGAGCAGGGGCCCUCAGAAUCCUGGAAGCCCUCCGUGCCCCCGUAUUUGGGAAGGGGAGGAACUAUCAGUGUCCCCCUCCCAAGGGGCAAUUCUGAACCUUGUCUUUGGCAAGCAUACACAUUUCACUGUUUCCAAAGCUCUCUACUCUGCCAAACAACACCCGAUCCUAUUCCAAACUGUCAACGAUUCUAACGUGUUCCUAUUUUUCUGUGUGUUUAUGGUUGCUGUUGCUGUUAUGUCCGAUUUGAUUUUACUGUUUUUUUCUUCCCUAAUUUUAUCGAGUAGCAUUGUGACCUGUUUUUCUUUGUCUUAUGUGACUUUAGUAAACUAGCCACUGUUGGUGACAGGACAGGUGAUGUGGGGAGGAAGGGGCUUGGCCAGCAGUGGCUGCCUGGCAUUCUCCCUCCCAGAACCGGGUAAAAGGCUACAGUAUUUGGACAACAUUCUAGAAAAGGCCCAAUGAAGGCCUCUUCCUAGAUUCCCAAACCAGAUUUGAGACCAAAGACACAUGCAGACCAAGUCCCCAGGCCCCACCUGGGAGGAAGGUCAGCCACUUGCCCAAGCCCAUCCCUCACCCGCCUCCUGAGGUGGCUGCCUCUGAUCCCAACCCUUCAGCUCUGAAUCUGCAGAGCUCGCCUCUGUGAGUACAAUGCGUCACGAUGCUCAGCUUUGUUUUGUCUCCAGAUAAAUGAAACUUUUCAUCAAAGCUUGUGACUCUGGUCCACCCAUCUCUAGAGAGUGGGCAGAGCCCUCUGCCCCCUCUCUGCUUGGGAUGGGGUAGAAAUCCAAAUGCCCACACACAGCCCAGGCAGGCAGAUCUGGGAAGGAAGCAAGGGGGCAUUUAAAGCAGUUUUUAAAGAUGAAGAAAUGAGUGAGGGCCCCAAGGAUAAACCUCCCCACUGAGAUGCUGCACUGAGGUGGGCCAGGUGGGUCACCACAGGGGAGAGUCCCCAGCAGCCAGCAGGGAAAAGGCCUCCAGGCCCCCUAACCCAACAUGUUUGUUGUAAAUGGGGAAACUGAGGUCUGGUGAGACAUUGUAAACUGGAAUGGAGCCAAACCUUCCUGAGUCAGUCCCGGCUGCAGGUUCUCUGAGAUGUAUACAAGGAGUGGCAUGAAUGUGGUCAGUGUCAAGGGCAAGGGGAGAAAUCCUCAGUCUCCUCUGGACAGCCAAAAAUAGGCCUUUCUGGGGAAGAAGAUACUCUGCGUAGUGUUCAGGGAGGAGGGAAGCAGCACCCCCACCCCGCCCUCUGACUUUCCCCAGAGGACAACUGGACCCCAGCUAUGGCAUAGCGAGAUGGGUGGCUCAGGUCACAGACAAGAGAGGCUAGCACCUGUUCGCCCAGCUGCUCUCUAUGGGCUAGAGAUUGAGGUCAGCAUUUGCACGAGAGGAAGCUGAGGCCUGCAGACACCAGUGGUAUGCCCCAGCCUUAGGCACAAUUUAAAUGAAGGCCCUCUGGGCUCCGAACUUAGCCCGAGGCUAUGUGGGGAACUCCCAGCAGCAGGAAGUAGCCUUGGGUGCCCCCCCACAGCCCUUGGAAGAUGUGCAGCUCCUAGUCCUGGCCCCAGAGCCCCAGAAUACCCCCAGAGACAGUGGUGAAGUCCCAGGGAAGAGCAGGGUGUGCCCCCAACCCUCACCCCAGCCCAGCUUAGGGCAUGGCUGUGUCAUCUGGAGGCCACCAAAUCCUGGCCCAGCCCCAAGCUGGUCUGUCUGUGUGGACUCUGUAAAUACUACUAUGUGCAAAAAAAUCUCAUCAAGUACAAAACCACCAGACAAAACAAAAAACCCAGACAGCAAAACUUGGAGAGAGGUGGGCAACCCGGCAGCUAGGGAGCAGAAUCUCUCCAUCUCUCUCUCCAUACCUGACCCCCUCACAACACACGUUGUUAUAAUAGGAAGCGAUUUUUCACUAUUCUCUUGUGGGUGUCACUACAGACCUGUUCUGACGUGUUCCCUGAGGGAUGGAUCAUCUUGUUAUAUAUUUGACUCCAAAUUGAGAUGUUGGCUUCAUUUUUUUUUUUUUACCCAAUUAAUCUUCCAGUCCCUAGCAACUGUGACUCUGUAUUCAGCAUAAGAGAAAACUGAGGAUGUAGGUCUUGCCUCCUUCCAGAAAUAUGUCAGGCUCAUCAGGACAGUUUUUUAAAACUUCAAAAUAUUUUUAAGAUAUUUUAAACUUUUGUAAAAAAAAAAAAAAAGAAAGAAAAAAGAAGAAAAACCAACAAGAGACUCUUCUGAGGAGGAAUAUUUGUAUUUGAACAAGAUCCUGGGUGUGUAAUUCAGUCUUGCAGUAUACAAGCUUUUGUGUAUAAAUGGUUUUUUCUUUGCUUUUUAGAUAAAUAUGUAUAUCAAUAUUUUAAAUUCAUCUUUGCUUUUUUUAGAGAAGUUUGUAAUCAUCUUAUAACAUGAAAUAAACAUUUCUGUUUUUAAAAUCCAA